rnacentral:rRNA from 1 species
GACGAACGCUGGCGGCGUGCUUAACACAUGCAAGUCGAACGGUGAAAGCGGAGCUUGCUCCGCUGGAUCAGUGGCGAACGGGUGAGUAACACGUGGGCAACCUGCCCCUCACUUCGGGAUAACUCCGGGAAACCGGGGCUAAUACCGGAUAUGACCUCCUUGGGCAUCCUUGGAGGUGGAAAGUGUGUCGGUGAGGGAUGGGCCCGCGGCCUAUCAGCUUGUUGGUGAGGUAGUGGCGCACCAAGGCGACGACGGGUAGCCGGCCUGGGAGGGCGACCGGCCACACUGGGACUGAGACACGGCCCAGACUCCUACGGGAGGCAGCAGUGGGGAAUAUUGCGCAAUGGGCGAAAGCCUGACGCAGCAACGCCGCGUGCGGGAUGACGGCCUUCGGGUUGUAAACUGCUUUCAGCAGGGAAGAAGCCGCAAGGUGACGGUACCUGCAGAAGAAGCACCGGCUAACUACGUGCCAGCAGCCGCGGUAA